AAAACAAUGUUGAAAAAUGUAUUUUUCCCAAAGAAUGAGGCUCAAACAAGGGCUUUGAUUCUUUUGAAUGUCGUGCUUGAUUUUAUUGCUCAAGCUCAUCAUUUAUGUUGGUAUUGCUCAAGUCUAUUCUAAAUAGGGGUGGACAAAAUGUCCAGACCAAACCAAAUCAAAUCGGAAGCAAACCAAACCGAGUGGUUCGGUUCGAUUUUACGAAAAAAAUUAAUGGUUUUGGAUCUUUGAACCGAGAACCAUUUGGUUCUAGUUUCUGUUCAGUUCUAAUGCUAGAACCAAAAACCAAACAUAAUUUAUAAUUUUAUUUUUUAUAUGAAUCUAAUUUUAUAUUAAUGGAAGUUAGUCCAAUAACCAUUAUUUUUUUUACAGCUAAUUAAAUGUGUCUAGCUCAUUAAUUUUUUUCUCUAAUAGCUAUAGCCGUCCAGCCCAAAGGGUUAAGAGAAACCCAAAUUCCCAAUUCCAAUUUGUCUCUCAAUAUUCACCGUCUCACUUGGUCAUCGACGCCGCCUUCCAAUCCAUCAUUGUAUUUAUCUCCGAGGACACUUUGAAUUCUGAGUGCUACGGUAGAGGAAGAUAGGUAGUACCACCACCAAUUUUCCCAGUUUGCACACAGACGUCAUCAUCCCACACCAUUCCUCGUUUAGACAGUGCCACUUUUCCUUGUUUGCACAUGGACAUCAUCCCACAUUUGGACAAAGGAUGAAAUUGAACUCAAUAUUAUUAACUUCAACCCAACCGAGCUACAAUGCCCACAAGGAUGAUCACACGGUUGACACAACACACACAUAGGGGUCAGGAUUAUUUUAUUCAUGGGGGGCCCACGCCUCGACUAUGAGUGUGCGGUCAUCCACACAAUAACCGACGCGGGUUGAGUAGCUUGAUUCUAUUAACUUUUGGCAAUGACUCAUUCGUUUAUAUUUUAUUUGUUAAUUUGGACUUUUAUAACCUUGAUUAUUGAUAAUUUGAACUUGUUAAAUGUUUGAUGCUUA